GUAGGAGAGAGGGACACGGGGAGGAUGAUGAAAGGGGAAGGGAAAUCAGUUGUAGUAGAGCUCGAGGCCCAUGCCGUCGUGGAUCUCGUAGUCCUUGAGGGUGAUGUGGUCCUUGUAGAUGUUGUACCACUUCUGGAUUCGGAUCUUGUCGGCGCGGGUGCCGGUCUGGGCGGCCACCAGCUUCUUGAGGUCGCCGAUGGUGUCGUCCUCGUUGCACUUCACCCUCACCUUCUUCCCCAGCCGGUCGUUCAGCACCACCUCUAUCAUCUUCGCUGAAACCCUAAUUUCUCUCUCUUCCUCCUUCGCUGUGUUCGAUGAUGGAAACAGAAAAUCGAAGCUCGAAUCCUGUCUCCACGAGGAAACACGUCAGAAAAUCAGAAUCGGGAAAAGGCAAAGUCAGUCCCGAAGGAAAUGGAAGCUCGAUCUACCGAGCAGCGGCGAAAAGAGCCAGAGGCUUCUCGCCGCAAUCCGAGCGCCGGAGACGACGAAUCUCGACCGUGGAAACGUAAACAGAGGCUCGCUCGCCGGAGCCCGCCGGAAGAGGAGACGAGAAAUCGGACGGCGACAUGGCUCGCCGCCGGGAAGGGGAAAAAGCAAACGACGACAACCCAGAAGACGAGAUCAGUAAGUACCUCGAGAAGUCCGCUGCCGCGAAGCGAAUCCACACCAGAGAGAGAGAGCGCGACCCAGAUGGAGAGAGAGAGCUCGCACCACACCGCACCACUCAAAAACGCGUCUUUGCAGAGAGAGAGAGAGAGAGAGAGAGAGAGAGUCAAAUUGCAGAAAGAACGGAGAAAAAGAGAGACUAGAUGGAUGCAAGGAGGAGAAGAUUAUAUAUAGAGGGAUGAAUUGACGCAAAUGCCCCCGGACGCCGGAGGUGGGGAAAAUCCCAAUUUUUUAUUUCUUUCUUCGUGUUUUCUCUUAAAAAGGCGGAAAAAAAUGAAAAAAGAAAAGAAAAUCAAGCCUAACUUUAUUUUUUUCCUUUUUUUCUCAUUCUCUCUUCUUCAUCUUCUUCCUUCCGGUCUCAGCCGGUCACUGGCCACCGCCGCUGUCGCCUGUGGCCGAUGACCGACGAAGUGAGAGCCUUAGCUUCUUCAGAUUUGGGCGAGGUCGAACCUUGUCGGUGGCCAGGCAAUUCGGCAAGGCUUGGCCUCACGUAGGUGGCGUAAGGUCGACCUCGCCUGGCCACUGGUAACUGGCCACAAAAAAUGAGGAAGAAGAAAAAAAUAAAAAAUAAAAAGAGAAAAGAGAAAAAUAUAGUAAAAGUAUUAAAAAUUAAAAGAAAUAAAAAAUCAAGAAACCUACCCAACACAAUUCUAUUUCGAGAAUAGAAAUUUUGUGCAAUUACCAAAUCCAUUCUUUUGUUCAAAAAUUAUUCAUAGGAACAUAAUAGUUACCAAAACGUGCCCUUAUAAGAAAUUCAAAAUAACUAAAAUAAAAAUAAAUAAGAUAUAAGCCGGAUAAAAUUAUCUCAUGAGGAAGAUGUGAUAAAUGUGAAUAGAAUUUAUAAUCUCUGUAAAGGCAAGUUAUUUUUCUCAAAUAAUAAACUUCUUAAAUUAACAAAUUUAAAAUUAUUUUUCAACAUAAAUAAUAUUUAAAUUCUAAUAUAAGAAAUUCAAAAUAACAAAAAUAAAAAUUUAUUUUUUUAAUUUAAUCUUAUUUUUAUUCAUAUAUUCGAAUUUAAUUUUAUCUUAUAAUAUAAUUCAAUAUAUAAAUAUAUAAUUAUUACAUAUUUUAGGUAUUUUGGUAUUUUAGGUAUAUUAGUACAUUUUUCUAUUUAGUAAAAUUUUAGUAGAAAAUGGUGGUAUGGGAAGAGAGAAAUAAAAAAAGAAAUUAAUUAAAAAAUAGUGGAAAAUAUGAUAAAAAAAAAAGCAAAUAAAAAUAAAGUAACCAAGAGUGUCGCAAAAAAUUUCUACAAUCUCCAUUUAUAAAAUUUGUGGUUUAUUUAUAUUAAUAUGUCGUUUAUAUCCACUAAUAUAUAUGAUAUGAUAUGAAUAUAUCUGAUUUUAUUAAUGCAAUUACCAAAUAGUGGAUAGGAUAUAAUAAAAUUCAUUGAACUUCAUAUUUUAUCCUAUCCAAUAUUAUCAUGAUUAAAAAUUCAAACGACCAAACGUAGCAUAGAGACGAGCAUGGUUCUAGGGUAAAAUCGGGAACUGGAGAACUAGACUAACGGUUUCCGAUUCUACGGAGGGAUGGAUAGGUUCUCAGUUCCAUUUUUUUUCUUGGAGUCACUGAUUCCCCGUUUGGUUCUCAAUUCCUACAAGAACCAGAACAAGAAUUGAACUCGAGAACCGGAACCCCAAAUUCUAAAACAGUCAAAUCGCUAAUUCUUCCAUUUUGUCCUUCUCGUUCAUCUCUAUCGACAAUAAGAGGGUACUCUCUCCCCAUUCAUCUGUCAACAAGUGUAGCUUGUUUUUAUUUCAACCAUUCAUAGAGCAUGACUUGGAUCCCCAAAUACUCAUAAACUACGUCAGUUAGAAAGAAUGCCUACCUUAGAAUGAAUUUUGAUGUUUGCCAAGUUCGCAUCCUAACCAUACAAUCUUAGGGAGAACCUUACUUCAAAAAGGUAGCAAUAUAAGUUUACUAAAAAAUUCAACAUUGGCAUAACUAGUAUGAGCUAGUCUGUGGUGCCAUAAUUCUGUAGAAGCUUUAGGGUGACUUGAAGUAAGAGCAACAUCAAAAAGAGCAUGAACUCACUCACUUUCCAGAACAUAUAAAUGACUGUCAUUGGUCCUGAGGUAGUCAAUCUUUUCCUUUUUUAUGAAAUCAUUGAGUUUGUUUCUGUGUUUUAGUCACAUUUCAAUGGCUCCCUUAAUGUUGUGCGAGGAAUUGCCCUAUUGACUAAUGGGAAGUAGGCUAGUCCCAGAAAAUGCCCUUCCCCAAACGGACCCCAAUGAGGCACGCAAGUUUUGCUUUUCGUUGUGUGUAGCCAUUUUACAACAAGGUAGUUAAGGAACGUUGUGCUAUUGAGGAUAAUCAUCGCUCAUGUACUUACUACAUGCAUGUAUAGAGCUAUGAACCGUUUCCAGUUUUUGUUUUUUCCUUUUUUUUGUUUCUGGAGGGUCUACUAACAUGUUGAUUCAGAUAUACAUGUGAGUAUAAAAUUUAAUGACUGAAACAUCUUACUCCUUCCAUACAUAUUGUUACCCUUAAUUUCUUGAAAGAAAAUUACAAUUUUUUACUUGUAAUGCUCUAAUGCUUUGUAUUCUCUUAGUUGAAACAUGUGCCCUUGCAAGGUACAGUUUAAUUGGAAUAAUUCAAUGUUCAAGAUAGUAAUUAUGUAUAAUACAAGAACAAUCAAUUCAUAAAAUUUCCUCAAUACUAUUCGAUAAAUACAUAUGAACACUCGUUCUUUGAUAAUUGAUAAUAAAAUCCUUACUCAUUUUUAUUAUUGGUUUUUUUUUUUGCUUAACUAAAAAAGAAAAAAAGAAGAAAAAAGAACCUAUUAGACCCUACAACCUGCUACAGGUAAAUUCUAAAUUUCAACAAAUGAAGAGCCUGUAAUCGAGAAUAGGCUCUAGAUUUCAGACAUAAUUUGUAAGAAACUUAAAACCGUUCACUCCUAGAUACUAGAGCCCGGUCGGCGGAUUGUGAAUGACUCGAUUCAAAAUACCAUCUAGACAACUUUCUUCAGCUUUGGGAGAACGAGAAUGAGAUACAUCGACAACUUAUGCCUAGGUUGCAAAUCCACCACACUCUUUCUACCAAGGUCGACGGGGUCCUGAACUAAUAGUCAUCGAGCAAAAUACAACAAAAAAUUAUGAGAUCGACACGUGUACGACAACCACGCAUGAGGCAUCGCCCAGGAAAGUAUUCACCUGGCAAACUAGGAUAACAAUGUGAGGUUAAGGAUCAUAAGGACAAGCAGCCAUAAAACAAUACCUCAUAAUGUAAUAGUUGAACAAUUUUUUUAUAUGCAAUGCAGCACCAUUAGGCUCUCAAUUUUCCAAUAACAGGAGUUUACUCCCCAGUUCACACAUUCAUAGUCACGAAAGUUGAAAAGUCAACGGCAAAAGAUACACUAUCCAUGCAAAUGUAGUAUAAUGAAUCGGACUACAGCUUUUAGGCAUCCUCGGUCCCCCAGUUCUAAGGAUUUCCACGUGAGUUAUUGACGGACUACAGCUUUUAGGCAUCCUCGGUCCCCCAGUUCUAAGGAUUUCCAUGUGAGUUAUUGACUUGCAGUGAAAAAGCAAGCAUUUGAUUAUUUUGACGAUAAAAUCAAUAACUCAACACUUUGAUCCCUCGAAGACGGGUUUCGAAGCUAAUAUAAAAGUGAAAUGAUAUGAAACAAUGCUAAAAGUUAAGCGAAACAAUGCUAAAAGUUAAGCAAAUAUCCAUGGAUAAGGCCGAGAGGAAAUGGAGAUUAGAGUUUCAGGGAAUACAACAAAAAACUAUCAAAAGAAACCAAUACUUCACAUGCCAAUUCAAACCGACAUAGAUAUACUGACAAAUAUAAGGAAAGCAACACCUGACCUAAAUCAAUAUUCUCAGCGAAAUCAAAGCUUACACUUCUUUCCUGCGUAUCUAUGGUCCAGAGAGUAAAAUUUCAAAAUCAAACAGGAAGAGACCAUGUGACUAUUUGACAAAGUUAAUAGCCGUAUGUUGAAUAUAAAUUACGCUUGAUCUUGAUAGUCCGUGUCGACAUAUAUCCAACUUUUAUUUUAUCAUAAUUACUCCGGGGAAGAAGGCUUCACACAACACCUAUAUUACCUUUUCCCACGAAGAACUCUUCUCAAUGGUUUUUAUCUAGAAACAAAAUUUGAUAAGAAUAUACAUUGGAUUCAACAAAUGUGCUUCAAAUUUGAUAGAAUGAGGGUAAUAAACACAUAUUUGAAAUUGUUAGAAAUAUUGGUAUGCUAAGUAUUAGGUGUAAGUCAUAUUUCGAUACGAUCUUUAGGGGGACACCUAUGUCAUUCCCACAUAAAAAAAAAUCUAACAAAGCAAAUAUAAUUGUUGGUUAAAGCUCUAGACUUGGUAUGCAAUUCAAAUAUACACAAUAUAAUAUUACAGAUAUAACAUCGGACAUCUUCGAUUGACACUCCACGUUACUAAUAUUCAUUCCUACUCAUCACAUCCUUAUUACCGCAAUUGCUUUGACACGGGCAUUUUUCGCAAGUAUAUUGGAAAUUGUGUUCAAUUUUUAAUAACAAAAACUAAUAAAAUAUUAAAACGGAAGACAUGCCAAAUUUGCAAAAGCAAGUAUUUCUCCAGAAACAAAAAGCUGAAUUUUCUGUUGUUUUACGCUCUUGCAUAGAAAUGAGGUGAUCAUUUCAUCAUUCUCAUAAAGAUGAUGUCAUCAUUCUUGUUUGGAGAAACUUUUACAUAGACAUGCUGACAAACAUAAAGAAAACAACACCUGACCUAAAUUAAUAUUCUCAGUAAAAUCCAAGCUAACACUUAUUUCCUGUCUAUCUAUGGUCUAGAGGAUAAAAUUUCCAAAUCAAACAGAACGAGACCACGUGACUAUCUGACAAAGUUAACAGCCGUAUGUUGAACAUAAAUUACGCUUGAUCUUGAAAGUCUGUGUCAACAUACAUCCACAUUUUAUUUUAUAAGAGUUACUCAAGGGAAGAAGGCUUCACACAGCACCUACGGUACCUUAUCCCAUAUAGAACUUCUCUCAGUGGUUUUUAUCUAGAAUAAUCACAAAAAGAGCACAAGUUGCAGAUGUUCUUCACAUAGCCUCAGCGCGUUUUGAACUAAUUUACUACGAACGUAUAUAGACUAAAUUUGUUCCAUGCACUCUGAUCUUAAAUCAAUUAACUUGCGAUCAUAUGGUUCAAAAUGCCUUGUUCCAUGCACUUUGACCUUUGAAUCAAUCAAAUUGGGAUGAAAAGGUUCAGAACCAGUCAACCCCUGGCAUAGGAAUGAUCCAAUUAAAAUAUCUAAUGCACAAUAGCUUCACACUUUUAGAAUUUGAUAUUCAUUCUUGAUAUUCGAAUACACAUAAAAAUAGGAAUUCAAAUAAAUCAUUUCUACUUCAACAUUCAAUUCUCGGUUAGCAUAUCUUGUUUUCAUUGGAAGAUAUCCAGAAAAAGAGCAAAUGUAUGGUUUACUAAAUUCAUGGAACAUCCACCACCUCUUUAUGAAGAGAUUAUAACAUUAGUUUACUAAUAAAAGCAUAAUCUCGGGCAUUAGUCAAAAAUCAAUUCCGAACAAAUAUCAUUGAUGAAAGGUUCUACUAAAUCUUCUUACAGUAAAAUCUUUUAGGAUAUAUUAUUUUCUCAUAGAACCAAAAAAGGUGAAGCACAAGCAGAAAUUGCAACAACGUUUUUGAAAGUAUCGAGAUAGUCUUGCUAAGAGCACAAAUCGUGAGCGAUCCACAUUUUAGAAUUCAUAAUCUUCCUUCAUUUCAUAAGGAUUCACGUAGGACAGGAAUUUGCAUUUACCAUUGUUAUUCGGAAUCUAAAUAAUAGUGAUGAUCUUUAUUGACAGACAUAGGUUUGCAAGUUACUUAGGUCUUCUAUAUAUUUUAGAAUUCAUAAUCUUAGGGGAACCUUACUUCAAAAAGGUAGCAAUAUAAGUUUACUCAAAAGUUCAACAUCGGCAUAACUAAUAUGAGCUAGUCUGUGGUGCAAAUGUAGUAUAAGGAACCAAACUAUAGCUUUUAGGCAUCCUCGGUCCCCAGUUCCAAGGAUUUCCACGUGAGUUAUUGACUUGCAGUGAAAAAGCAAGUAUUGGAUUAGUUAGACGAUAAAAUUAGUAACUCAACACUCUCAUCCCUCAAAGACGGGUUUUGAAGCUAAUAUAAAAGUGAAAUAUUACGUAACAAUGCUAAAAAUUAAGCAAAUAUCCAUGGAUAAGGCCGAGAGGAAACGGAGAUUAGAGUUUCAGGAAAUACAAUAAAAAACCAUAAGAAGAAACCAAUACUUCACAUGCCAAUUCAAACCGACAUAGACAUGCUGACAAACGUAAGGAAAACAACACCUGAGCUAAAUUAAUAUUCUCAGUGAAAUUAAAGCUUACACUUCUUUCUUGCCUAUCUAUAGUCCAGAGGGUAAAAUUUCCAAAUCAAAUAGGAAGAGACCACGUGACUAUCUGACAAAGUUAAUAGCCGUAUGUUGAACAUAAAUUACGUUUGAUAUUGAUAAUCUGUGUCAACAUACAUCCAACUUUUAUUUUAUCAUAAUUACUCCUGGGAAGAAGGUUUCACAUAGCACCUCCAGUAUCUUUUCCCACAAAAAACUCCUCUAAAAAAUUUGGUAAGAAUAUACAUUGGAUUCAACAGGCGUGCUUCAAAUUUGAUAGAAUUAGGGUAAUAAACACAUAUUUGAAAUUGUUAGAAAUAUUGGUAUGCUAAGUAUAAGGCGUAAGUCAUAUUACGAUACGAUCUUGAGGGAGACACCUAUGUCAUUCCCACAUAAAAAAAAUGUCUAACGAAGCGAAUAUAAUUGUUGGUUAAAGCUCUAGACUUGGUAUGCAAUUCAAAUACACACAGCAUAAUAUUACAGAUAUAACGUCGGACAUCUUCGAUUGACACUCCACGUUACUAAUACUCAUUCUUACUCAUCACAUCCUUAUUACCGCAAUUGCUUUGACACGGGCAUUUUUCGCAAGUAUAUUGAAAAUUGUGUUCAAUUUUUAACAACAAAAACUAAUGAAAGAUUGAAACGGGGACAUGUCAAAUUUGCAAAAGCAAGUCUUUUUCCAGAAACAAAAAAACUAAAAUUUCUGUUGUUUCACGCUCUUGCAUAGAAAUGAGGUGAUCAUUUCAUCAUUCUCAUAAAGAUGAUGUCAUCAUUCUUGUUUGGAGAAAUUUUUACAUAGACAUGCUGACAAACAUAAAGAAAACAACACCUAACCUAAAUUAAUAUUCUCAGUAAAAUCAAAGCUAACACUUCUUUCCUGUCUAUCUAUGAUCUAGAGGGUAAUUUCCAAAUCAAACAGGAAGAUACCAUGUGACUAUCUGACAAAGUUAAUAACCGUAUGUUGAACAUAAAUUACGCUUGAUCUUGAAAGUUUGUAUUAACAUACAUCUACCUUUUAUUUUAUAAGAGUUACUCAACGGAAGAAGGCUUCACACAGCACCUACGGUACCUUAUCUCACAAAGAACUCCUCUUGGUGGUUUUUAUCUAGAAUAAUCACAAGAAGAAAACAAAUUCUAGAUGUUCUUCACAUAGCCUUAAUGCGUUUUGAAGUAAUAAAACUUUUAUGUUUACGACAAAUGUAUAUAAACUAAAUUUGUUCCAUGCACUCUGACCUUAAAUCAAUCAGCUUGCAAUCAAAUUGUUCAAAAUGCCUUGUUCCAUGCACUCUGACCUUUAAAUCAAUCAAAUUGGGAUAAAAAGGUUCAGAACUAGUCAACCCCUAGCAUAUGAAGGAUCCAAUUAAAACAUUUAAUGCACAAUAGCUUUACACUUUUAGAAUUUGAUAUUUCUUCUUGAUAUUCUAAUACACAUAAAAAUAUGAAUUCAAAUAAAUCAUUUUUACUUCAACAUUCAAUUCUCGGUUAACAUAUUUUGUCUUCAUUAGAAGAUAUCCAUAAAAAGAGCAAAUGUAUGUUUGACUAAAUCCGUGGAACAUCCACCACCUCUCUAUGAAUAGAUUAUAACAUUGGUUUACUAAUAAAAGCAGAAUCCCCAGCAUCAGUCAAAAAUCAAUUCCCAACAAAUAUCAUUGAUGAAAUGUUUUACUAAAUCUUGUUAUAGUAAAAUCAUUUAGGAUAUAUUUUUUUUUUCAUAGAACCAAAAAAGGUGAAGCACAAGCAGAAAUUGCAAUAACGUCUUUGAAAGUAUCAAGAGAGUCUUACUAAGAGCACAAAUCAUGAGCGAUCCACAUUUUAAAAUUCAUAAUCUUCCUUCAUUUUAUAAGGAUACACGUAAGACAGGAAUUUGCAUUUACCAUUACUAUUCGGCAUCUAAAUAAUGGUGAGGAUCUUUAUUGACAAAUAUGGAUUUACAAGGUACUUAGGUUUUCUAUAUAUUUUUCAUCCUCUCUUUAUAAAGUGGAUUUGCCUCUUUGCAGUCAAUUGAAAGUUAAGCGAUUCACUGUGAUAUGUGUCUUUGUCAUGUUCUUGUGCAUCAUGCAUAGUUUAGCAUGAUCUAAAUUCGUAGUAUACUUCAUUUCAAUACAUUAGUUGAACUCGUCUUGGUUCCAACUAAAGUGGCGGAAACAAAAUUUGAUACAAAAUUACAUCAUACUAAUUGCAAAAAAUCACAAAACAUUCAAGAAUGCAUCAGUUGAAGUCGCUUCGAUACCAGCUGAAGUGGUGGAAACAAAAUUUGAUAAGAAUAUACAUUAGAUUCAACAAGUAUACUCAAAAUUUGAUAGAAGGAUGGUAAUAAACACAUAUUCAAAAAUAAUAUAUCUUAAAGAUGAAAUAGUAACAAUAACUUAAACUCCCACUAAAGAUAAUCGAAAAUAAAACUACAAAAAUAUUGGUAUGUUAAGCAUUAGGUGUAAGUCAUUUCGAUACAAUCUUGAAGGGGACACCUAUGUCAUUCCCACAUAAAUAAAUAAAAAGUCUAACGGAGCGAAUAUAAUUGUUAGUUAAUGCUCUAGACUUGGUAUACAAUUCAAAUACACACAACAUAAUAUUACAAAUAUAACGUCGGACAUCUCCGAUCGACACUUCACGUUACUAAUACUCAUUCUUACUCAUCACAUCCUUAUUACCGCAAUUGCUUUGACACGGGUAUUUUUUGCAAGUAUGUUGGAAAUUGUGUUCAGUUUUUAACAACAAAAACUAAUGAAAGAUUGUAACUGCAAACAUGCCAAAUUUGCAAAAGCAAGUCUUUUUCCAAAAACAAAAAAUUACAAUUUCUGUUAUUUCACGCUCUUACAUAGAAAUGAGGUGAUCCUUUCAUCAUUCUCAUAAAGAUGACGUCAUCAUUCUUGUUUGGAGAAAUUUUUACAUAGAAAUGCUAACAAACAUAAAGAAAAUAACACCUGACCUAAAUUAAUAUUCUCAGUAAAAUCAAAGUUAACACUUCUUUCCUGUCUAUCUAUGGUCUAGAGGUAAAAUUUCCAAAUCAAACAGAACGAGACCACGUGACUAUCUGACAAAGUUAAUAACCGUAUGUUAAACAUAAAUUAUGCUUGAUCUUGAAAGUCCGUGUCAACAUACAUCCACCUUUUAUUUUAUAAGAGUUACUCAAGGGAAGAAGGCUUCGCACAGCACCUACGGUACCUUAUCCCAUAUAGAACUCCUCUCAGUGGUUUUUAUCUAAAAUAAUCACAAAAAGAGUACAAGUUGCAGAUGUUCUUCACAUAGCCUUAGCACGUUUUGAAGUAAUAAAACUUUGAUGUUUACUACAAACGUAUAUAAACUAAAUUUGUUCCAUGCACUCUGACCUUAAAUCAAUCAACUUGCUAUCAAAUGGUUCAAAAUGCCUUGUUCCAUGCACUUUGACCUUUAAAUCAAUCAAAUUGGGAUCAAACGGUUCGGAACCAGUCAACCCGCAGUAUAUGAAGGAUCCAAUUAAAACAUCUAAUGCACAAUAACUUUACACUUUUAGAAUUUGAUAUUCCUUCUUGAUAUUCUAAUACACAUAAAAAUAUGAAUUCAAAUAAAUCAUUUCUACUUCAACAUUCAAUUCUCGGUUAGCAUAUCUUGUCUUCAUUGGAAGAUAUCCAGAAAAAGAGCAAAUGUAUGUUUUACUAAAUUCAUGGAACAUCCACCACCUCUUUAAGAAGAGAUUAUAACAUUAGUUUACUAAUAAAAGCAGAAUCUCGGGCAUCAGUAAAAAAUCAAUUCCGAACAAAUAUCAUUGAUGAAAGGUUUUACUAAAUCUUCAUAUAGUAAAAUCUUUUAGGAUAUACUAUUUUCUCAUAGAUACAAAAAAGGUGAAGCACAAGCAGAAAUUGCAAUAACGUUUUUGAAAGUAUCAAGAGAGUCUUGCUAAGAGCACAAAUCAUAAGCGAUCCACAUUUUAGAAUUCAUAAUCUUCCUUCAUUUCAUAAGGAUUCACAUAGGACGGGAAUUUGCAUUUACCAUUACUAUUCGGCAUCUAAAUAAUAGUGAAAAUCUUUAUUAACAGGCACAGGUUUGUAAGGUACUUAGGUCUUUUAUAUAUUUUAGAAUUUAUAAUCUUAUAGGGGAACCUUACUUAAAAAAUGUAGCAAUAUAAGUUUACUCAAAAGUUCAACAUCGACAUAACUAGUAUGAGCUAGUCUGUGGUGUCAUAAUUUUGCAGAAGCUUUAGAGUGACUUGAAGAGCAAAAAGAGCAUGAACUUACUCACUUUCCAAAACAUAUAGAUGACUGUCGUUGGUCCUGAGGUAGUCAAUCUUUUCCUUUUUUAAUGAAAUCAUUGAGUUCGUUUCUGGUGUUUUAGUCACCUUUCAAUAGCUUCCUUAAUGUUGUGCAAGGAAUUGCCCUAUUGAUUAAUGGGAAGCGGGUUAGUCCCCGAAAAUGCCCUUCUCCAAAUGAACCCCAAUGAGGCAGCAAAUGUUUUGCUUUUCGUAGUGUGUAGCCAUUUUACAACAGGAUAAUUAAGGAACGUUUACUCUUGAAGAUCAUCAUCGUUCAUGUGCUUACUACAUGCAUGUGUAGAGCUAUGAUUGUUCAUGUGUUUACUACAUGCAUGUGUAGAGCUAUGAAUUGUUUCUAGUUUUUGUUUUUCCCUUUCUUUGUUUCUGGAGGGCCUGCUACCAUGCUGAUUCAGAUGUACGUGUGAGUAUAAAAUUUAAUAACUAAAGCAUCUUACUCCUUCCAUAUAUUGCAACCAUUAAUUUCUUGAAAGAAAAUUACAAGUUCUUACCUGUGAUGCUCUAAUGCUUUGUAUUUUCUUUGUUGAAACUUGUGCCCUUGCAAGGUACAGUUUAAUUGGAAUGAUUCAAUUUUCAAGAUAGUGACUCUGUAUAAUAUAAGAACAAUCAAUGCAUUGAAAACUAUUAAAUUUCCUUAAUACUAUCCAAUAAGUACAUAUAGACACUUGUUAAUAAAAUCCUUACUCAUAAAUUGUUGUUGUUAUUUUUGUUUUGCUUAACUAAAAAUGAAAAAAAAAAAAAAAAUUAGACCCUAUAACAUGCUCCAAGUUCUAACAAGUAGAUUCCAACAAAUGAAGAGCCUGUAAUCGAGAAUAGGCUUUAGAUUUUAGACAGAACUUGUAAGAAACUUAAAACCAUUUCACUCCUAGAUACUAGAACCUGGUCGGUGGAUUGUGGAUGGCUCGAUUCAAAAUACCAUCUAUGGAGACAACUUUUUUCAGCUUUGGGAGAACGAGAACGAGAUACAUUGACAAUUUAUCCCUAGGCUGCAAAUCCACCAAACUUUCUACCGAGGUCGAUGGGGUCUUGAACUAGUAGUCAUCGAGCAAAAUACAACAAAAAGUUAUGAGAUCGACACGUGUACAACAACCACGCAUAGAGCAUUGCCCAGCAAAGUAUUGACCUGGCAAACUAGGAAAGCAAUGUGAGGUUAAGGAUCAUAAGGACACGCAGCCACAGAACGAUGCCUCAGCAUGUAGUAGUUGAACAAUUUUUUUAUAUGCAAUGCAGCACCAUUAGGUUCUCAAUUUUCCAAUAACAGGAGUUUGCUCUCCAGUUCACACAUUCACAGUCACAAAAGUUGAAAAGUCAACGGGAGCAAAGAUGCACUGUCCAUGCAAAUGUAGUAUACAGAACCAGACUACAGCUUUUAGGCAUCACCGGUCCCCCAGUUCUAAGGAUUUCCAUGUGAGUUAUUGACCUGCAGUGAAAAAGCAAGCAGUGGAUAAGUUAGACGAUAAAAUCAGCAAGUAACUCAACACUCUCAUCCCUCAAGACGGGUUUCAAAGCUUCAAUUUAAGGUCGUGAACCGUUUUGACAAUGAAAAACUGAAAUGCGAUGUAACAAUGCUAAACAUUACGCGAAUAUCCAUGGAUAAGCGCAUGAGGAAACAAGGACUAGAGUUUCAGGGAACACAACCAAAAACCAUCAGAAGAAACCAAGACUACAUAUGCCAAUUCAAACUGACAUAUAGACAUGCUGACAACCAUAAGGAAAAUAACACUGACCUAAAUCGAUAUUCUCAGUGAAAUCAAAGCUUACACUUCUUUCCUGUCUUAUCUAUGGUCCAAUGGCUAAAAUUUCCAAAUCAAACAAAAAGGGACCACACGAUUAUCUGACAAAGUUUACAACUGUAUGUUUAACAUAAAUUACACUCGCUCCUGAAAGUCUCUGUCACACAUCCACCUUUUAAUUCACCUUUUAUACAUCAGAUUCACUACAGGGAAGAAGGCUUCACACAGCACCUACAGUACAUUUUCUCACAAAGAACUCCUCUCAGUCAUCUUUAUUAUUGUCCAAGCUCUACCAAAGAUUUAUCUAAACAGGUACAGAGAGACGCCUCGCCUCCAUAGUUUACUCUUAUCUCUCUGCCACAACGUACUAUUCAGCAUCAACAUAAGCAGCUCCAAGCACUUUCUUUCGUUCCAAAUAGAAAGAAAUUGCGACCUAUUAGAGCGAACAUGCAGUCCACGCUGGCGCCAGCAGAAACAUACAUCUAUCAAACAAAUUAAACCCUUCUCAUGUCAUUGAUUCCCUCAAUUAGCAGCAUAAUCCACUAAAAAAUGAUCCCAGUUCAAACAGAAAACACAGUAUCACACACAACAGAACAUCUGAACAUCUUCACCGAUGAAUGUUAUAGCAGCCGAAAACAUCAUCUUGGCUGAACUGAUCAAAGUCAACAUCCGCCUAAUCACACGCUAACCGAUAGCUCAUAAAUAUACCUAAAAAAACAAAAGCUUGAAACUUCCAUAAAGAAUCGAGAGGGAAUUUUACCAUAGACACUAGAUGAUGAUGUUUGAUGUUUGGAGAAGGGAAAUCAGUUGUAGUAGAGCUCGAGGCCCAUGCCGUCGUGGACCUCGUAGUCCUUGAGGGUGAUGUGGUCCUUGUAGAUGUUGUACCACUUCUGGAUUCGGAUCUUGUCGGCGCGGGUGCCCGUCUGGGCGGCCACCAGCUUCUUGAGGUCGCCGAUGGUGUCGUCCUCGUUGCACUUCACCCUCACCUUCUUCCCCAGCCGGUCGUUCAGCACCACCUCUAUCAUCUUCGCUUGCUGCUCCUCCGAAGAAAACCCUAAUUCCUCUCUCUCUCUCUUCCUCCUUCGCUGUGUUCGAUG
rnacentral:lncRNA from 1 species